rnacentral:lncRNA from 1 species
UGACUAAUUUUUGUAUUUUAGUAGAGACAGGGUUUCAGCAUGUUGGCCACGCUGGUCUCGAACCCCUGACCUCAACUGAUCCGCCCACCUCAGCCUCCCAAAGUGCUGGUAUUACAGGAUUGAGCCACUGCACCCGGCCACUUUUUCUUUUUGAUAGGAGAAAAUAUUUAUUUCUGAGGGAAAGGAUCUAGUUGAAGGGCAGAGAUGGAGAAUCUAAACAAUAAUUUCUGGAGAAAUCCCAAAGGGAGGGAAAGGGAUUAGGAGCAGAGAUGGAGUUGCAGGUUUUACACAGGAAAGGGGAGAUUUUAUCCGAGAAGACCAAUUUCCUGAUUAUAAGAACAGAGAAGGCAGAUUAUAGAAUUGUUCCAGAAGGGGGUAUCCAGGUGGGUUUGAUGUAAAGAAAAGAGUGUGAGAGAAUUGAAGAUGCUGGAAAGAGAACAGUUUCUUUCAACUCAUUUUUGGGUUGAAUAAGAAAGGUAGUUGAUGUCAAGAGGGGACUCACUGGGAGGAAAGAGAAGAAUCUCUAGGGAGUGGAAGGCCGUGGGAGACUGGAUCAUGGCUCCUAAAGAUGUCCACAGCCUCAUCCCAGAACUUGUGAAUGUUACCUUACAUGGCAAAGAGAGACUUUGUAGAUGUUACUAAGUUAAAGGCUUGAGACAAGGAGAUUAUCCUGGAUUAUCUGGGUGGGCUCAGUGUGAAGCACAUUCUUCCUAAGAGGGAAUCAGGCAGGUCAGUGACAAAGAAGGCCAUGGGAUGGAAGGGAUCUGCCUUGAAGAUAGAGGAAAGGGCCAGAAACAAGGAAUGUGGGUGGCUUCUAGAAGCUGGAAAGGCAAGGGGACAGUUUGUCCCCAGAAGCCUCUGUACGGAACCAGCCCUGCUGACUUGUUGACAGGAGCUCAGUGAAACUGAUUUCAGACGUCUGGCCUCCAGAACUGUAAGAGAAUACAUGUGUGUUGUUUUAAGCCACUAAAUUUAUUCAUUACAGCACCAAUAGAAAACGAAGACAGCUGUUCAGCAGAUAUAGCAAGAGGGAGGCUGAGAGGUCUUUCAUCAGGAGGCAUGGUGUGAGCUCGAGGUGAGCUUUUGAUUGCCGUCCACCAGUGCUGUUUGCUGCCGUCGCAGACCCACCGCUGACUUCCAUCCCUCUGGAUCUGGCAGGGUGUCCGCUGUGCUCCUGAUCCAGCGAGGUGCCCAUUGCUGCUCCUGAUCGGGAUAAAGGCUUGCCAUUGUUCCUGCAAGGCUAAGUGCCUGGGUUCGUCCUAAUCGAGCUGAACACUAGUCACUGGGUUCCAUGGUUCUCUUCCGUGACCCAUGGCUUCUAAUAGAGCUAUAACACUCACCGCAUGGCCCAAGAUUCCAUUCCUUGGAAUCCGGGAGGCCAAGAACCCCAGGUCAGAGAACACGAGGCUUGCCACCAUCUUGGAAGUGGACCACCACCAUUUUGGAAGCAGCCCG